rnacentral:rRNA from 1 species
CAGCCGCCGCGGGAAAACAGAGGGUGCGAGCGUUAAUCGGAUUUACUGGGCGUAAAGCGUGCGUAGGCGGCUUUUUAAGUCGGAUGUGAAAUCCCUGAGCUUAACUUAGGAAUUGCAUUCGAUACUGGGAAGCUAGAGUAUGGGAGAGGAUGGUAGAAUUCCAGGUGUAGCGGUGAAAUGCGUAGAGAUCUGGAGGAAUACCGAUGGCGAAGGCAGCCAUCUGGCCUAAUACUGACGCUGAGGUACGAAAGCAUGGGGAGCAAACAGGAUUAGAUACCCGGGUAGUCCCUGUCUCUUAUAC